AUUGAACGCUGGCGGCAGGCCUAACACAUGCAAGUCGAGCGGAGCGGCGGACGGGUGAGUAAUGCCUAGGAAUCUGCCUGGUAGUGGUGGAUAACGUCCGGAAACGGGCGCUAAUAUCGCAUACUAUCAGAUGAGCCUAGGUCGGAUUAGCUAGUGGGGGGGGUAAAGGCCUACCAAGGCGACGAUCCGUAACUGGUCUGAGAGGAUGAUCAGUAACACUGGAACGGAGACACGGUCAAGACUCCUACGGGAGGCAGAAGUGGGGAAUAUUGGACAAGGGGCGAAAGCCUGAUCCAGACAUGCCGCGUGUGUGAAGAAGGUCUUCGGAUUGUAAAGUACGUUAAGUUGGGAGGCGUUACCAACAGAAUAAGCACCGGCUAACUUCGUGCCAGCAGCCGCGGUAAUAC
rnacentral:rRNA from 1 species